rnacentral:rRNA from 1 species
AGUGAACGCUGGCGGUAGGCCUAACACAUGCAAGUCGAACGGCAGCACAGAGGAGCUUGCUCCUUGGGUGGCGAGUGGCGGACGGGUGAGGAAUACAUCGGAAUCUACUCUGUCGUGGGGAAUAACGUAGGGAAGCUUACGCUAAUACCGCAUACGACCUACGGGUGAAAGCAGGGGACCUUCGGGCCUUGCGCGAUUGAAUGAGCCGAUGUCGGAUUAGCUAGUUGGCGGGGUAAAGGCCCACCAAGGAGACGAUCCGUAGCUGGUCUGAGAGGAUGAUCAGCCACACUGGAACUGAGACACGGUCCAGACUCCUACGGGAGGCAGCAGUGGGGAAUAUUGGACAAUGGGCGCAAGCCUGAUCCAGCCAUACCGCGUGGGUGAAGAAGGCCUUCGGGUUGUAAAGCCCUUUUGUUGGGAAAGAAAUCCAGCUGGCUAAUACCCGGUUGGGAUGACGGUACCCAAAGAAUAAGCACCGGCUAACUUCGUGCCAGCCGCCGCAGUAA